rnacentral:rRNA from 1 species
AUUGAACGCUGGCGGCAGGCUUAACACAUGCAAGUCGAGCGAGCGGCGGACGGGUGAGUAAUGUCUGGGAAACUGCCUGAUGGAGGGGGAUAAAUACUGAAAACGGUAGCUAAUACCGCAAACCAUCAGAUGUGCCCAGAGGGGAUUGGCUGGUUGGUGGGGUAAUGGCUCACCAAGGCGACGAUCCCCAGCUGGUCUGAGAGGAUGACCAGCCACACUGGAACUGAGACACGGCCCAGACUCCUACGGGAGGCAGCAGUGGGGAAUAUUGCACAAUGGGCGCAAGCCUGAUGCAGCCAUGCCGCGUGUGUGAAGAAGGCCUUCGGGUUGUAAAGCACUUUCAGCGAGGAGGCGUUACCCGCAGAAGAAGCACCGGCUAACUCCGUGCCAGCAGCCGCGGUAAUAC